GAGUUUGAUCCUGGCUCAGAACGAACGCUGGCGGCGUGCCUAACACAUGCAAGUCGAACGUGAUCCAGAGCUUGCUCUGGUGAAAGUGGCGCACGGGUGAGUAACGCGUGGAUAACCUACCCUGGUAUCCGGGAUAACAUUCCGAUAGGGGUGCUAAUACCGGAUAAGCCCACGGGCUCUUUGGAGCUUGCGGGAAAAGGUGGCCUCUAUUUAUAAGCUACUGUAUCAGGAUGGGUCCGCGUACCAUUAGCUAGUUGGCGGUGUAACGGACCACCAAGGCGACGAUGGUUAGCUGGUCUGAGAGGAUGAUCAGCCACACUGGAACUGAGACACGGUCCAGACUCCUACGGGAGGCAGCAGUGGGGAAUUUUGCGCAAUGGGGGAAACCCUGACGCAGCAACGCCGCGUGAGUGAUGAAGGCCUUUGGGUCGUAAAGCUCUGUCAGAGGGGAAGAAAUGAUAUAGUGCUAAUACCACUUUAUCUUGACGGUACCCUCAAAGGAAGCACCGGCUAACUCCGUGCCAGCAGCCGCGGUAAUAC
rnacentral:rRNA from 1 species